AGUAAUGAAAGCACCAUUCAUGUACAAAACUCUUUCUGUAAGACAUAGUACUGAUUAAUGACAUUUUUUCUGGACUACUUUUCAAGUAUUGACAAGCCCUUGAACUAAAAAAACUAAGUAAUUUUGUAGUUCAGCUUUCCUGAGGGGAUUUAUCUGAAGUUUUCAUACUCCUAUAAAGUGGUUGGUUCAUCCUUUAUUUUCUUGACACCUUUCACUGUGGUAAUUCAUUUAAGACUGAGUCAUACAAUAAAACAAGAUACUGUUUCAGGAAAAAAAAAAAAAAACACAAGAAAGAAAUAAAGCAUGACUUGUUUAAGAAUCAAGUAAUAUUAAAUGUCAGCCUAAGGAGUCAGAGUUGACUAGUCCUGUCUACUUUUAUUCCUUUAUUCCUAUCUACUUUAAAUACAUCAAUUUUUGAAAACUUAUUAGAUAGACCCCAGUUCUCAAGACUCUGUGUAUACUAUAGUGUUAACAGGCCACACUGCUCAUAUGAAUGGGUAGACUGACAUAGCUCUAUUGGCCCUUGGUAGUUUUACGAUUAAUUUUGAAAGCUAAUGAUUUAACUCCAUAAUUUCCAGACAGAUGACUAGCUUUCCCAUUGACUAGCAUGAGAGAGUGAAAAAAUUGUUAUCUUUCCUGAAAAUGAACCCAUGGGAAUAAAACAUAAUACCUGCACACUUGUUGAAAGAAUAUGCUCAGUUGUCACUCAGAUAAUUUCUAUGAAAGUGUAGAAUCAUCACCACUAUGAUGCAAUAACAUGUCUCCAGCAUAGCUGCCAGACAGGGAGAGGAGAAACAGAGCUCUGCAUUUCACAGUAGUUUUAAUUGUCAUGAUUUGGUGAACUAGGAUAGUCCAUUGCACCAGUAUAUUUCCAACUCAGGAGGAGGCAAGGCAAGGCAAGGCAAGGCAAGGCAAGGCAAGGCAAGACAAGUAUCACUAUGGCCAGAAACUGGGGAGCAGGAUGACUGGAGACAGAGGAUUGUAGAACUUGGAUCAGCCAUGUUUUCUGGUUUAGAAUGUGUCUGUAAAAUACAAGAAAGUUGCUCAUCAUAAAUCUAAAGAGCCAACUGAUCUGUCAAGAUGUUACUGAGCCACAAUCCAUGGUUCUCCAGAGGGUUACAGACAGCGAAAUAAAGACGUGUCAAUCAGUGCCUGAUCUGGGUCAGCUUUAGUCAAGCACCUCUACCAGAAGAACAUUUUCUAUCAAAUACAGUAGACGAGGUAAACCAUUACUUUAAAAUAUGUAACCAUACUUGUGAGUUUUCCUUAUCCUGACUUCUAAGGCUGUGCAUGAGGAGAGACUGCAUCUUCCUAACCAGUGACUUGUGAAAAUUUGUAAGAUCACAAGAGUAA